ACAAGACACACAGUCUCACACAGGACUGCACUCAAGUGGACUUGAAAAAGAAACACUGAUGCUGUACAUAUUGGGGACUGUCAUUGGAAUCAUCUGCAUCAUAGUAUGCAUUUCCAAAGGACUGAAAGAGAAGGAUAGUAAGCAAGGAAAUGGCUGUCAACCUCCUCCACAAAAACAAGUGGCCAAUAAAAAAAAGAAUCUGACUGAACAGGACCUUUUACUUCUGGCCAGGAUCCUGACCAUUGGACUGGUAGACGCAGACCCUACCACCUUGCAGCACCUAAGGGAAUACAGAGACCUUAGAGGAAGCACCACGUGAUGCAGUGAUCACUGAUACGCCUGUGCUCGUGUCAAAGACCAGACACUCCACUGAGACUCUUAUUGUCUUUGUGACACUAUGGGAGUAAGUUAGUGUAUUUGGGACUGUUUUGACUAAAGGGAACCAUGACCUUUAAGAGGAUUAGUUCUGAACUCGACAUUCAUCACCUUUUGGUACAAAGCCAUCAAGGGUUUUGUUUUCCUGCUUGCCAGUAUCAACAGGUAGUGAGAAUGAAACCGCUGCCAGUAUACUACAGCACAAAUAUGAGAGUUUUUUUUUAUGUCUGACACACAAGUGAAAAUGAUAUUCCAAAAAAAAAACUGAUAUUCUAUAAAAAUUCCAGGAAAAAUGUACUGCGUGUUUGGUCAUCUGAGCAUUAGUAGUUCUGUGUUGCAAUACUGAGUGAGGAUCACCUUCACUAAGGGAAAUUUCCAGUUGAACAUUCUUUGGGCCUUAACUCAGAGAGUGUACAGAGCACAUGAGGAAAUGUUUGCCCAACACAGAGGUUCUGUGAAGCAUGACAAUUUGUAUGAGAAAGAAUGUGACGAGAGCGUGAGAAUUUUCUAUGAAAGUUUUUACUUUUUUAAUUAUUGUUGUGGAUUAUCAAUGGAUAUUGAACAUCUUUUAUUCUGCCAAAUGUGAGACAUAAUCUAGUAAAAUUGCAACGUUUCCCUUGCUUAUUUACAGAGGACAGGUUAAGAACAAUUAUUUUGAAAGUGCAGUAUGUAAGAUUUAUGGUGAUCUAGUACCAGAAAUGGAAUAUGAUAUUCAUAGCUAUAUUUUCAAUAGUGACAAUAGUGUUAUCACCUGUAACUACGAAUGUUUGUGGUUUUUGUUAGCUUAGAACGAGCCCUUUGUAUUUAUUAGUGAGAGGAUCCACUUCCGCAGAGUCCACCCUGUUUUGCUGCCAUGUGCGACCACUCUAUCAAACCAAAACAUGGUCUUGCACAUUUUAUGCACCUGAUGAGCACUCUAUAGCUUUUGCUAUAUGCUUGGAAAGGGAAAAGUAUUCCAUUAGUUCUGUAUUACAUGCCACUAAAUUCUACAUACUGCACCUUUAACAUAUGGACUCAAUACUUUCUUAUUUAUACAUACUUUUUUAUACUGAGUGUACUCUUGAUUCCUUUGAUACCAUCUGGGCUCCUUAUGCAUUUAUCUCGUCUUGGAACAGAAUCUGAAAUAAUGUAUUUAAGAGACUGACAUGAAGAGCUUCUGUUGAGGGGUGUCAGCACAUGGCAACGUGUCAAUAAAUAUCCCAGAAAUCCUGUGUCUA